rnacentral:lncRNA from 10 species
ACAUCCAUAAUCCUUUAUUCCUCAAAAGACAUGGUUUCCAAAGCCUUCACCAUUAUUUGCCAUUUAGAUGUGCCCCAAUUUGCUAAAGUUCCGCUUAAAAUGUGGUCACUUGCAUAAGUUAGCAUGCUUCUGUCUACAAGUAAAGGAAAAGCCAACUAAAAGUGUUACCCUAUUCACAUAAGGAAACAUCUGGCGAUGGGGUGGUUCCAGAUGCUUACUGAUGAUGACGGACCCUAGCUCUUUCUGUCUUUCAUCUCUGCCAUCCUCAAUGCAGGGGAUUUUUAUCCUCAUGUUCAUGGUUGCAAGCAGCUUCUAGCAAAACCUCUUUAAACAUAGGCACAUUCAAAGGCAGAAAAAACUCAUUUUCCUCACACUUUUCUUUUUAAGUAAAUCUCUCCUUUCCAGUAAUGGCUCAGUUGACUUCCCUUUACAUGUCACUGUACCUAAAUGCAUCACAUUCCCUCCUGAACCAUCUGGUUAAGAUAAAUCACCCUGGGCUGGGCGUGGUGGCUCACACCUGUAAUCCCAUCACAUUGGGAGGCAAAGGUGGGUGGAUCACCUGAGGUUGGGAGUUCGAGAUCAGCCUGAGCAACAUGGAGAAACCCCGUCUCUACUAAAAAUACAAAAUUAGCCGGUUGUGGUGGUGCAUGCUUGUAAUCACAGCUACUUGGGAGUCUGAGGCAGGGGAAUCGCUUGAACCUCGGAGGCGAAUUUUGCAGUGAGCCUAGAUCGCACCAUUGCUCUCCAGCCUGGGCAACAAGAGCGAAACUGCAUCUCAAAAAAAAAGAAAAGAUUAAUCACCCUAAGGACUGGAGUACUGAUUCUUCCGAGUACGUGGCCACAGAGGAAAGAACCCAGUUAAAACUAGGGAUCUGUCUACCAGAGGGUAGGGAAGGGGAUAGAUUUGAGCAGGGAAUUCAGUCUGCCAAUUACCAAAACUGAAAACAGGUCCUGCAUAAUGACAUUUUGGUCAACAACAGACUCAUUAUAGGAAGGUGGUCCCAUAAGAUUAUAAUGGAACUGAAAAAUUCCUAUCGCAUAGUGACAUCCUAGCUAUCUUAACAUCAUAGCACAAUGCAUUACUCAUGUGUUUAUGUUGAUGCUGGUGUUAACCUAUUGUGCUGCCAGUAGUAUAAAAGUAUAGCAUGUCCUGUUUAGAUUUCUUCCAAGCAUACUUUCCUUUCUUUCCUGUUCUAAAGCCUUUUUAAAUAAACUUCCAUUCCUGCUCUGGAGGAAAAAAAGUAUAGUACAAUUAUGUACAUAGUACUUGAUAAACAUUUGAUUUAAACUUGA